UACUCUUGACAUCCAGUGAACUUAGCAGAGAUGCUUUGGUGCCUUCGGGAACACUGAGACAGGUGCUGCAUGGCUGUCGUCAGCUCGUGUUGUGAAAUGUUGGGUUAAGUCCCGUAACGAGCGCAACCCUUGUCCUUAGUUACCAUCAUUAAGUUGGGGACUCUAAGGAGACUGCCGGUGACAAACCGGAGGAAGGCGGGGACGACGUCAAGUCAUCAUGGCCCUUACGAGUAGGGCUACACACGUGCUACAAUGGCCAGUACAGAGGGUUGCAAUACCGCGAGGUGGAGCUAAUCCCACAAAGCUGGUCGUAGUCCGGAUUGGAGUCUGCAACUCGACUCCAUGAAGUCGGAAUCGCUAGUAAUCGUGAAUCAGAAUGUCACGGUGAAUACGUUCGCCGGGCCU
rnacentral:rRNA from 1 species